rnacentral:lncRNA from 1 species
CCCCUGUAAUAAUCCGAUUUUUUACUUUCCCCCUCUAAUAUUUAAAAACCUACACUUUGCCCCCCUGUAAAAUAAAAAAUGUUCACAAGGGAGUUACGGUGUGUAAAAUGACCAUUUUACCCCUGGCCAUUGUCGUCUUCUUCCUCAUCUUCCCCAGCCGCCCUCUCGUUCGGCCGUGAUUCCCACCUCAAUCGGCCGCGAUUUUUCUCCAUUUCCUUCUCCACCUGCUCCCCUUCUUCUCCUGCACUCUCGCAGCCCUCGAUUUCGGCGACAAUAGAAGAAAACCGAGGUGGACGACAGUAGGAGAAGGGCGCAGAAAGCGAAGGCAAGACGGCGGAGGACGGCGAAGGGGAUGUGGGUGAGGGCGAGGCAGUGGAGGAUGGCGAGGCGGCUAGGCGGCGAGGCGGCGAGCCGGAGGGAGGCGAAGCAAUAGGGAGAUGGCGGAGGGGUAUUUUCGGCAUAAAAAUAUAUUUUUUAACGGAACCCUAACGGUAGGAGGUGAAGUGUAUAUUUUUUAUUUUACAUGGGGGCAAAGUGUAGGUUUUUAAAUGUCAGGGAGGGAAAGUGAAAAAGCGGGUUAUUAUAAGGGGUUUUUCUGUAAUUUAGCCUUACAAGAAUAUAGACGCAUCUUUACAAAAUUUUUUUAAAAAUUGCAUUUAUAAUUGUACCCAAUCAAAUUUCUCUGAAAAUACGUUAAUGAUAAAUUACACUUUUGGUUCUUAAACUAUAAGCCGCGUGCCAUUUUGGUCCACAGACAAAGUUUAUGAAUUAUAUAUUAUUAUAAUUAAAUCUCAUUUCUAAUUUAAUUGACUAAAUAUUGACAAAUUAUCGUUGUGGAAAUGAUAUAACAUCCUAAUUAUUAUCACAUAAUUAAUUACAAUACUACAUAUCUCUCUACAUUAACUAUUUAUCAAUAUCUUGCUACCUAAAUUGAGUUGUGGGACUUGAUUAUAAUAAUUUAUAAAGUC